CGGCGUGCCUAAUACAUGCAAGUCGAGCGAACGGACGAGAAGCUUGCUUCUCUGAUGUUAGCGGCGGACGGGUGAGUAACACGUGGAUAACCUACCUAUAAGACUGGGAUAACUUCGGGAAACCGUAGCUAAUACCGGAUAAUAUUUUGAACCGCAUGGUUCAAAAGUGAAAGACGGUCUUGCUGUCACUUAUAGAUGGAUCCGCGCUGCAUUAGCUAGUUGGUAAGGUAACGGCUUACCAAGGCAACGAUGCAUAGCCGACCUGAGAGGGUGAUCGGCCACACUGGAACUGAGACACGGUCCAGACUCCUACGGGAGGCAGCAGUAGGGAAUCUUCCGCAAUGGGCGAAAGCCUGACGGAGCAACGCCGCGUGAGUGAUGAAGGUCUUCGGAUCGUAAAACUCUGUUAUUAGGGAAGAACAUAUGUGUAAGUAACUGUGCACAUCUUGACGGUACCUAAUCAGAAAGCCACGGCUAACUACGUGCCAGCAGCCGCGGUAAUACGUAGGUGGCAAGCGUUAUCCGGAAUUAUUGGGCGUAAAGCGCGCGUAGGCGGUUUUUUAAGUCUGAUGUGAAAGCCCACGGCUCAACCGUGGAGGGUCAUUGGAAACUGGAAAACUUGAGUGCAGAAGAGGAAAGUGGAAUUCCAUGUGUAGCGGUGAAAUGCGCAGAGAUAUGGAGGAACACCAGUGGCGAAGGCGACUUUCUGGUCUGUAACUGACGCUGAUGUGCGAAAGCGUGGGGAUCAAACAGGAUUAGAUACCCUGGUAGUCCACGCCGUAAACGAUGAGUGCUAAGUGUUAGGGGGUUUCCGCCCCUUAGUGCUGCAGCUAACGCAUUAAGCACUCCGCCUGGGGAGUACGACCGCAAGGUUGAAACUCAAAGGAAUUGACGGGGACCCGCACAAGCGGUGGAGCAUGUGGUUUAAUUCGAAGCAACGCGAAGAACCUUACCAAAUCUUGACAUCCUU
rnacentral:rRNA from 1 species